rnacentral:rRNA from 1 species
GACGAACGCUGGCGGCGUGCUUAACACAUGCAAGUCGAACGGAAAGGCCCUGCUUUUGUGGGGUGCUCGAGUGGCGAACGGGUGAGUAACACGUGAGUAACCUGCCCUUGACUUUGGGAUAACUUCAGGAAACUGGGGCUAAUACCGGAUAGGAGCUCCUGCUGCAUGGUGGGGGUUGGAAAGUUUCGGCGGUUGGGGAUGGACUCGCGGCUUAUCAGCUUGUUGGUGGGGUAGUGGCUUACCAAGGCUUUGACGGGUAGCCGGCAUGAGAGGGUGACCGGCGACAUGGGGACUGCGAUACGGACCAGACGCCUACGGGAGGCAGCAGGGGGGAAUAUGGCACAGUGGGGGGAAGUGUGAUGCAGCAACGCCGCGAGCGGGAUGACGGCCUUCGGGUGGUAAACCGCUUUCGCAUGUGACGAAGCGUGAGUGACGGUAAUGGGUAAAGAAGCACCGGCUAACUACGUG